UCUCAGUCAGCUGGCUGACAUUCACAUCCAGAAUGAUCUCCACAAGGUUAUUUUUCCUAGGAUCAGGUUUGACUUCCACUGUGGUCCUUUCCACAUCACUCUCUCCUUUGGCAUCUGUUACUCUGAGAUGGAAUGUGUAAGUCCCUUCUACCAGAUUGGACAGGAGAAGGACCGGAUGGUGGUCUGAAUUAUUUAAAACCUCCCCAGCUGCAGGGCUCCCCUCAUCCCGAGUCCACAAGUAGCUG
rnacentral:lncRNA from 1 species